rnacentral:siRNA from 1 species
AAUAAAAGUUACAACUACCGCCA